AAGUCGUAACAAGGUUUCCGUAGGUGAACCUGCGGAAGGAUCAUUAACCUUUCCAAAUCAGGGUGCGUCGCGGCCCCCCAGAGGAGCGGAAACAAUCCUUGGGAGGUUUGCGGAGUCUUCGGACCCCUUAACGCACGCACGACUGCCAUCCUUACUUUACGAGCACCUUCUGUUCUCCCUCGGCGGGGCAAACCUGCCGUUGGAACCGAAUAAACUCUUUUUCGCAUCUAGCAUUACCUGUUCCGAAACAAACAAUCGUUACAA
rnacentral:misc_RNA from 1 species